AACAGAUAAAGGCAAACCAUCUGAAAGGGUGGGACGCAAAGCUUCAGGUCUAAGGUAGAUUUUUUUACUAUGAUGGCUGGGCCACCUUA
rnacentral:ncRNA from 1 species